rnacentral:misc_RNA from 1 species
GAUGAAUAACGUAGCGAAAUGCGAUAAGUAAUGUGAAUUGCAGAAUUCAGUGAAUCAUCGAAUCUUUGAACGCACCUUGCGCUCCUUGGUAUUCCGAGGAGCAUGCCUGUUUGAGUGUCAUGAAAUUCUCAACCUUUUCAGCUUUCUUUGUUGAUCAGGCUUGGAUGUGGGAGUAUGCGGGCUUCUCAGAAGUCGGCUCUCCUGAAAUGCAUUAGCGGGACCUUUGUUGCCUGGCUUUGGUGUGAUAAUUAUCUACGCCAUUGUAGUCAAGCAGCUUAAAAUGAGGUUUCAGCUUCUAACCGUCUCCCCUGAGACAACUUUUUGACAAUUUGACCUCAAAUCAGGUAGGACUACCCGCUGAACUUAAGCAUAUCAAUAAGCGGAGGA